rnacentral:rRNA from 1 species
AGAUUAAGCCAUGCAUGUGUCAGUACAAACUAAACAAAAGUGAAACCGCAAAUGGCUCAUUAAAUCAGCUAUGAUUCAUUGGAUCUGUACACCCAGUUUUCCUUGGAUAACUGUGGUAAUUCUAGAGCUAAUACAUGCACAUAUAGUCCCUAACCUCACGGGAAGGGCGCUUUUAUUAGUAUCAAAACCGGUCUGGCUUCGGCCAGUAAAACCUAUUGUGAUGACUCUGGAUAAUUUAAGCUGAGCGCACGGUCUUUGCACUGGCGCCGCUUCUUUCAAGUGUCUGCCUUAUCAGCUGUCGAUUGUAGGUUAUGUGCCUACAAUGGCUAUAACGGGUAACGGGGAAUCAGGGUUCGAUUCCGGAGAGGGAGCCUGAGAAACGGCUACCACAUCCAAGGAAGGCAGCAGGCACGCAAAUUACCCACUCCCAGCCUGGGGAGGUAGUGACGAAAAAUAACGAUGCGAGACUCAUCCGAGGCCUCGCAAUCGGAAUGAGUACACUUUAAAUCCUUUAACGAGGAUCAAUUGGAGGGCAAGUCUGGUGCCAGCAGCCGCGGUAAUUCCAGCUCCAAUAGCGUAUAUUAAAGUUGUUGCGGUUAAAAAGCUCGUAGUUGGAUUUCUGGAUUGGACUGAAGGUUCGCCGUGAGGCGUUUAAAACCUAUCAGUAUCCGAAACCAGCUAUCACAACAACUUUGUGUAUGCCCACACUAGCUCACACGGGGUGUUCUUAAUUGAGUGCCCCGCGUGGCUGGUAUGUUUACUUUGAAAAAAUUAGAGUGCUCAAAGCAGGCCAACUGAAUGGCCUGAAUGUCUAUGCAUGGAAUAAUGUAAAAGGACCUCGGUUCUAUUUUAUCCGGGCUUUUUGUGGAACCCGAGGUAAUGAUUAAUGGAGAUGAAUGGGGGCAUUAGUACUGCGACGCUAGAGGUGAAAUUCUUGGACGUCGCAGACU